rnacentral:rRNA from 1 species
GACGAACGCUGGCGGCGUGCUUAACACAUGCAAGUCGAACGGAAAGGCCCUGCUUUUGUGGGGUGCUCGAGUGGCGAACGGGUGAGUAACACGUGAGUAACCUGCCCUUGACUUUGGGAUAACUUCAGGAAACUGGGGCUAAUACCGGAUAGGAGCUCCUGCUGCACGGUGGGGGUUGGAAAGUUUCGGCGGUUGGGGCUGGACUCGCGGCUUAUCAGCCUGUUGGUGGGGUAGUGGCUUACCAAGGCUUUGACGGGUAGCCGGCCUGAGAGGGUGACCGGCCACAUUGGGACUGAGAUACGGCCCAGACUCCUACGGGAGGCAGCAGCGGGGAAUAUUGCACAAUGGGCGGAAGCCUGAUGCAGCAACGCCGCGUGCGGGAUGACGGCCUUCGGGUUGUAAACCGCUUUCGCCUGUGACGAAGCGUGAGUGACGGUAAUGGGUAAAGAAGCACCGGCUAACUACGUG